CCUACGGGGGGCUGCAGUGAGGAAUAUUGGUCAAUGGCCGGAAGGCUGAACCAGCCAUGCCGCGUGAAGGUCAGUGCCCUAUGGGCGUUAAACUUCUUUUGUGCGGGAGCAAUAAUGGUCACGUGUGGCCAGACGAGAGUACCGUACGAAUAAGCAUCGGCUAACUCCGUGCCAGCAGCCGCGGUAAUACGGGGGAGGCAAGCGUUAUCCGGAUUUAUUGGGGUUAAAGGGUGCGUAGGCUGUGAGGUAAGUCAGCGGUGAAAUGCCCCCGCGCAACGGGGUGAAGUGCCAUUGAUACUGCCUUGCUGGAAUGCGGAUGCCGUGGGAGGAAUGUGUGGUGUAGCGGUGAGAUGCAUAGAUAUCACACAGAACACCGAUUGCGAAGGCAUCUCACGAAUCCGCGAUUGACGCUGAUGCACGAAAGCGUGGGUAUCAAACAGGAUUAGAUACCCUAGUAGUC
rnacentral:rRNA from 1 species